GGCCGAGUGGCGGAAUGGCAGACGCUGGGGACUUAAAAUCCCCUGCUCGCAAGGGCGUGUGGGUUCGAAUCCCACCUCGGCCA
rnacentral:tRNA from 1 species